AUUGAACGCUGGCGGCAGGCUUAACACAUGCAAGUCGAGCGGGGUGAUGGUGCUUGCACUAUCACUUAGCGGCGGACGGGUGAGUAAUGCUUAGGAAUCUGCCUAUUAGUGGGGGACAACAUCACGAAAGGGAUGCUAAUACCGCAUACGUCCUACGGGAGAAAGCAGGGGAUCACUGGUGACCUUGCGCUAAUAGAUGAGCCUAAGUCGGAUUAGCUAGUUGGUGGGGUAAAGGCCUACCAAGGCGACGAUCGGUAGCGGUUCUGAGAGGAUGAUCCGCCAGACUGGGACUGAGACACGGCGCAGACUCCUACGGGAGGCAGCAGUGGGGAAUAUUGGACAAUGGGGGGAACCCUGAUCAAGCCAUGCCGCGUGUGUGAAGAAGGCCUUAUGGUUGUAAAGCACUUUAAGCGAGGAGGAGGCUCUUUUGGUUAAUACCCAAGAUGAGUGGACGUUACUCGCAGAAUAAGCACCGGCUAACUCUGUGCCAGCCGCCGCCGUAA
rnacentral:rRNA from 1 species